GACGAACGCUGGCGGCGUGCCUAACACAUGCAAGUCGAGCGGGGGGAGUACUUCGGUACAAACCUAGCGGCGGACGGGUGAGUAACACGUGGGUAACCUGCCUCAAAGUGGGGGAUAGCCUUCCGAAAGGAAGAUUAAUACCGCAUAACCCAUAGCUUCCGCAUGGACGCAAUGGUAAAGAUUUAUCGCUUGGAGAUGGACCCGCGGCGCAUUAGCUAGUUGGUGAGGUAACGGCUCACCAAGGCCACGAUGCGUAGCCGACCUGAGAGGGUGAUCGGCCACAUUGGAACUGAGACACGGUCCAGACUCCUACGGGAGGCAGCAGUGGGGAAUAUUGCACAAUGGGCGAAAGCCUGAUGCAGCAACGCCGCGUGAGUGAUGAAGGCCUUCGGGUUGUAAAGCUCUGUCUUUUGGGACGAUAAUGACGGUACCAAAGGAGGAAGCCACGGCUAACUACGUGCCAGCCGCCGCGGUAAGAC
rnacentral:rRNA from 1 species